rnacentral:siRNA from 1 species
AUCACCGCUACGUUUUAUCUCGGU